CCUCAACCUUUCCUUGCACCUGGUUGUAGGGAGUGCACAGAGAUGGCAUGAGCAUGCACCCAUCCCAUAAGCAGAGAUAAAGCCAGGGAGAUCUCUGCUUAUCGUGGUCCUGACAGAGAUUGGAGGUGCCUUUAGUGUUUUGUGCUCGUCCCCUACAAAGUGCAGGCAAUGAUAAUCUUACCCUGCUGUGGUGAUACUGCACGGAUGUCUCGGCACUGCUCUCAGUAUGGCUCACCAGGCUUCUCUGAGCAAAUUGUGCUGUUACCUGAGGGGUGAUUUGGGGAAGAGGAAAGUUUUUACAUUGUUUUGGGGAGCUGGGCCAUACCAGGCUGUUCUGGUGUAAUCACAGUGUUCAGCCUGAGCAGAUACCCUGGAAAUGGUCCUGGGCUGGAUGGAGCUGGGCAGCAGCUGUGUGUGCCUCUUGUAUUUUACAGAGCUAUGAGGAUUUAUAGAAGAACUCCUCUAAUUAUUGCUAAUGCACUUUGAUUUCAUGAAGUCAUGACCUGGAAACCUUCUGCUCCUCUCUCACCUCCAUUAACUCAUCUGACCUACAAAAUGUCUAAUGUGGUUUAUCUGCCAAAUGUGCAAGCUGACAGCGAGCUCAGAAAGGGCAGAUACACCUUUCCUCAGCUGUGAAACACCCUGGGGGAGGGGGAUGACUUUGUUCUGUUUGAGCAGCCACCUCCAACUCAUGGUCCUUUCACUCUCUUACCUCUGCAUGCCCUGCAGCACCCUGGCAGCUGCUAAAGCCUGUCCAAGUCAGACAACACCGAGCUGUCUGCAAGACAGAGGUGUGUUUGAGAGCAGAGGAGAAGAGAGGGGGACUGGAAAUUCCUAAGGAGCAUUGAUCAUUUUAUUGUUAAGUCUGAUGCUGCUGCUGCUAGAGCUCUUGGUCUGUGUGAAGCUGUGUUUUGGGGAAGACCACAAAGCCUUCAGUGUAUGAUUUACUGGAGCAGAAAAACUUGCUCAUCCCUUCCUUGGCUCACCUGAGUUGAAAAUACAAUCUCCUCUUAAAACAACCCUGCACACAGCUGGGUGUAAUUCAGCCCACAGCUUCUGCUGCCUUAAUUCACAAAGAUCAAUUUACAGAGGAAAGCCUCCAGCUAACUGAUGCCAGGUGGUGGCUUUGGCUUCCUGAGGGGGUGGGUGACAAAUACAAGUGGCCUGAAACAAAUCAAGGGAUAAUGCUGUGCCACAGAACGGUGCUGGAUGCCUUCUGUCUGCGGGUAUCUAAUACAGCUAAUAAGCAGCUCACAUUACUGCCUGAUUUGGCAGGAAUUAUUACCUGCUGAAUGGCUUAAUAGAUUUCCAGUCCCUCUGUGUGUAAUUUUCACUCGUCCCCAAAGGAAAGCUAUAUAAUGUUUGCCAUAGUUGUUUGUAGAAUUGGGAUGCACCACAGGUGUCAUAAACUGCUCUGUAUUACAUGCCAUUUUACUUCUGGUGGGGCUGUAAUUACUGGGAGCUCUUCUGGGCAGAGACUGCUACUUGGGAUGUGAUUGUCCAAAGCAGGACCUUACACUGCCUGGCCUCCCUUUGUCACUGCAGUGUUUGCCUUCAUUAUCUUCAUUAUUGGUAAAUCUGCCCAAGUAACUCUUGGACAUCUUAAAAUAUGUUUAAGUGGUUGGAUUCAGAGGUGUUUUUUUAUCAGGGCUGUGCCUUUAAAUAAAGCAAGAUCUUGAAAAAUGAUUUUGAGUAGU
rnacentral:lncRNA from 1 species